rnacentral:rRNA from 1 species
CGGUCCAGACUCCUACGGGAGGCAGCAGUAGGGAAUCUUCCGCAAUGGGCGAAAGCCUGACGGAGCAACGCCGCGGGAGUGAUGAAGGUCUUCGGAUCGUAAAACUCUGUUAUUAGGGAAGAACAUAUGUGUAAGUAACUGUGCACAUCUUGACGGUACCUAAUCAGAAAGCCACGGCUAACUACGUGCCAGCAGCCGCGGUAA